GACAGUUGACUUCUCUGUUAACUUCAACGGACAUUGACACAAUCGCAAAAAUGUCCGGAGAAUACGGUCCAAUAAUGCCCGCCACUGAGGAAACUCAGGCGCUUUGUGAUCUGGUUCAGUCCAAUGUGGAGGAAAAGACAGGAAAGAAGUAUAUGGAAUUGAAAGCAAUUAUAUACAGGCAGAAAGAUGAUGUGGUAGGAAUAAACUACCUUAUCAAGGUUCAUGUUGGAGGAGAUGACUACAUUUAUCUGAUAAUCUUCCAAGAUUUCGGAGAACAGGUUUUCCUGAUUAAUGUACUGGAGAUUCAAACCAAAGACAGCCCCCUCGUACCUUUUUAGAAACUGAUUGUAAAACACUUAAAGGCUGCAAUGUCAUGUUAAAAUCUUCUGCUUCUUUUUUCGGAAAUGAUUUAACAUUGAUUUUGAAUGUUUUAAAGAUGAGAGAUGAAGAGAUUUGGUGGAAUGCAAUGUCCUUUAACCCCAAAUAAAUAUUCUGCCA
rnacentral:lncRNA from 1 species